rnacentral:lncRNA from 1 species
GGGAGGGAGAGGGGGACGAGAGAGAGGGACAAGGGUUAGCGCAAAGCGGUCAUGGGCUGUCAGAAUUAUUGGAACUUGGAACUUAGAACUCUUGAAAGAUCCUGGAAUCAUAAUACAAAAAUCCAGCGAAAGUCUGGGAGAGACUCUUCUAACGAGAGAAGGGUGGAGUACAGAGUGAGGGAGUACAGAGUGAUGGAGACGAUUAUGGAGGACAGAGUGAUGGAGUACAGAGUGAUGGAGACAGAGGGAUGGAGAACAAGGUAUGAGAACAGAGUGAUGGAGGACAGAGUGAUGGAGUACAGAGUGAUGGAGAACAGAGUUAUGGAGAACAGAGUGAUGGAGAACAGAGUGAUGGAGAACAGAGUUAUGGAGAACAGAGUGAUGGAGAACAGAGUGUAUGGAGGACAGAGGUUAGUGGAGAACAGAGUUUUAUGGAGAACAGAGUGAUGGAGAACAGAGUUAUGGAGAACAGAGUUUAUGGAGAAACAGAGUGAUGAGUACGAGUGGAUGGAGAGCAGGAAAAAAGGUUUUUGGAGAACAGAGGUUAUGGAGAACAGAGUGAUGGAGAACAGAGUUAUGGAGAACAGAGUGAUGGAGAAAGAGUGAUGAGAACAGAGUUCUGGAGAACAGAUUAUGGAGAACAGAGUAUGGAGA